UUACUGAAAUAUAGAUGAUCCUGUAAGAAACUUUUAACUAUUUAGGAUAAAUAAUUGCCUGUAAGCUGUUGUAAUGUGGUUUUAAGGACUGCUUUUCACAGCGCAGAGUCCCAAAGUACUGCAUUGUGACAGUAAUUCCGGGCAGAUUCGGAAUGGAUCGGCUCACCUUGGGAUUUGGAAUGUGUUGGUUGUGGAGAGCCUCUCUGAGCUCACGAGGAUGUUUUCUUGAUGGUUAUGGCUGCAGGGAUUCUCACUGCUUGGAAAACAUGAGGACGGGGACCAAGAAUCUUUUCGCUCAGUCUUCUGAGGAAAGUUUGGUUCGGGUACAAAAAGAAAGCAAGGAGAGGGGCAAGCUCCAUCCCAUCGCACAAAUGAUCUCUACGUGGAGCUGGAAGAGUAACAAGAGUUCAGAAAUUUAAUAACCAAUGCAGAUAUCAUAAAAGCCUGACUGUUGGUUUGUGGUCAACAGCAUCAUUUUCUUUGAGCAAAGAGGAAGAGAAAUGUAUCCGUGUGUGAUGGAGAGCAGCAAUCAAUGCUAAGACGUGCACCCAGUUUGUUGGGAAAAGUAAUGGGGUAUACAGGAAAGCAUGGGCAGAGUGAAGGAAGCAUGGAAGAGCUGAUGGAAAGCUCCUGAGACUCAGAGGCAACCUCUCUUCUCCCUUGCCAGCAUGCCGCAUUGUGAUGGAUAAGCAUCUAAACCAUGGUAAAACCUGAAAAAAGGAAGCACUCCUAUCACUGAUGAAGAUGCAUCAUCACUGGUCUUGGUUCAAAAACCAUUAAAGUUUCUGAGUGGUUCCAGUGGGAAUGAGAACAACCCUUUUUUCUGAAGAAAUAGAGGUAUAUAUUAAACCUUAAUUGAGAAGAGCCUCCACCAGGAAUUUCCCUCUGAGGGAAAGGAGCUUUUGUGGAUAUAAUUGUUUUGGAGGGAGUAAUUAUUCCAUGGACAUUUCCCAAGGUGUGAGUGAUGGCUUUUUUUGCUGAUUUUCCUGAGAGCGGAAGAGCUGUAGCAGUCUUAUUAAGGACCGGUGGCACUACCUGGCAAGCAGGGGACAGGCUGCUGUUUCAACAUACAUACACAGCAGCAGGAACAAGUUUCUUAUUGUUUGGCUGAAUAUUUCUCUAUUAUUCUUUCCCCUGCAGCACAACACAGUUUGCAGCAAUUGAUUGACUUAGCUGGACAGUGAGAUAAAAAAUUACAAAUAAGAGCGGCU